rnacentral:rRNA from 1 species
AGAGUUUGAUCAUGGCUCAGGACGAACGCUGGCGGCGUGCUUAACACAUGCAAGUCGAACGAUGAACCACUUCGGUGGGGAUUAGUGGCGAACGGGUGAGUAACACGUGGGCAAUCUGCCCUUCACUCUGGGACAAGCCCUGGAAACGGGGUCUAAUACCGGAUAAUACUUCCACUCGCAUGGGUGGGGGUUGAAAGCUCCGGCGGUGAAGGAUGAGCCCGCGGCCUAUCAGCUUGUUGGUGAGGUAGUGGCUCACCAAGGCGACGACGGGUAGCCGGCCUGAGAGGGCGACCGGCCACACUGGGACUGAGACACGGCCCAGACUCCUACGGGAGGCAGCAGUGGGGAAUAUUGCACAAUGGGCGAAAGCCUGAUGCAGCGACGCCGCGUGAGGGAUGACGGCCUUCGGGUUGUAAACCUCUUUCAGCAGGGAAGAAGCGAAAGUGACGGUACCUGCAGAAGAAGCGCCGGCUAACUACGUGCCAGCAGCCGCGGUAAUACGUAGGGCGCAAGCGUUGUCCGGAAUUAUUGGGCGUAAAGAGCUCGUAGGCGGUCUGUCGCGUCGGAUGUGAAAGCCCGGGGCUUAACCCCGGGUCUGCAUUCGAUACGGGCAGACUAGAGUGUGGUAGGGGAGAUCGGAAUUCCUGGUGUAGCGGUGAAAUGCGCAGAUAUCAGGAGGAACACCGGUGGCGAAGGCGGAUCUCUGGGCCAUUACUGACGCUGAGGAGCGAAAGCGUGGGGAGCGAACAGGAUUAGAUACCCUAGUAGUCC